GGCCUGGUGGUCUAGUAGUAUGAUUCCUUCUUAGGGUCUGUUGACAUUUGGAGGAGGUCCCGGGUUCAAUUCCCGGCCAGGCCC